rnacentral:rRNA from 1 species
CCUUUACUAUAGCUUGACACUGAACAUUGAGCCUUGAUGUGUAGGAUAGGUGGGAGGCUUUGAAGCGUGGACGCCAGUCUGCGUGGAGCCAACCUUGAAAUACCACCCUUUAAUGUUUGAUGUUCUAACGUAGGCCCCUUAUCGGGGUUGCGGACAGUGUCUGGUGGGUAGUUUGACUGGGGCGGUCUCCUCCCAAAGAGUAACGGAGGAGCACGAAGGUUAGCUAAUCCUGGUCGGACAUCAGGAGGUUAGUGCAAUGGCAUAAGCUAGCUUGACUGCGAG